UGUUCCAAUAACAGUGUCGGUUACAAGAUUUCGAAGACAGAAAGGAAAUGGCGGCCGGGUAGAUUCGGACACUUUUUGAGGCAAUGUUUCUGCAGCCGGUACAAUAGGGGUUUUUUCAUUCUGUGUCGAGAAAUCGUUAUCAUGGCAGGCUAAACUCGCAACUGGAGGGGGAGUGUUUCUCUGGGAGUUAGUUAUAUGCACCCUAUACACCAAUCAGCCAUAACACUAUGACCACUGACGGGCGAAGUAAAUCAUCUUUUUAUCGUGGCACGGGUGGGGUAUAUUAGGCAGCGAGUGAACAUUUCAUCCUCACAGUUGAUGUGUUAGAAACAGGGAAAAUGGGCAAGCGUAAGGAUCUGAGUGACUUUGAGAAGGGCCAAAUUGUGAUGGCGAGACGAUUAGGUCAGAGCAUUUCCAAAACUGCAGCUCUUGUGGGGUGUUCCCGGUCUGCGGUGGUCAGUAUCUAUCAGAAGUGGUCCAAGGAAGGACAAGCGGUGAACCGGCGACAGGGCCAUGGGCGGCCAAGCCUCAUUGAUGCAUGUUUUAGGCAGAGGCUGGCCCGUGUGGUCGAAUCCAACAGCCGAGAUACUGUAGCUCAAAUUGCCGAAAAA